rnacentral:rRNA from 1 species
GACGAACGCUGGCGGCGUGCUUUACACAUGCAAGUCGAAUGGUGAAGGUGGAGCUUGCUCCGCCGGAUCAGUGGCGAACGGGUGAGUAACACGUGGGCAACCUGCCCCUAACUUUGGGAUAACUACUCGAAAGAGUAGCUAAUACAGGAUAUGAAGUCUGUAGGCAUCUACGGACCUGGAAAGUUUUUCGGUUAGGGAUGGGCCCGCGGCCUAUCAGCUUGUUGGUGAGGUAGUGGCUCGCCAAGGCGACGACGGGUAGCCGGCCUGGGAGGGUGACCGGCCACACUGGGCCUGAGACACGGCCCAGACUCCUACGGGAGGCAGCAGUGGGGAAUAUUGCACAAUGGGCGCAAGCCUGAUGCAGCAACGCCGCGUGAGGGAUGACGGCCUUCGGGUUGUAAACCUCUUUUAGCAGGGAAGAAGCGAAAGUGACGGUACCUGCAGAAAAAGCACCGGCUAACUACGUGCCAGCAGCCGCCGUAA